GACGAACGCUGGCGGCGUGCUUAACACAUGCAAGUCGAACGGUAAGGCCCUUCGGGGUACACGAGUGGCGAACGGGUGAGUAACACGUGGGUGAUCUGCCCUGCACUUCGGGAUAAGCCUGGGAAACUGGGUCUAAUACCGGAUAGGACUCCGGACUGCAUGGUCUGGGGUGGAAGGCUUUUGCGGUGUGGGAGGGGCCCGCGGCCUAUCAGCUUGUUGGUGGGGUGAUGGCCUACCAAGGCGACGACGGGUAGCCGGCCUGAGAGGGUGACCGGCCACACUGGGACUGAGAUACGGCCCAGACUCCUACGGGAGGCAGCAGUGGGGAAUAUUGCACAAUGGGCGCAAGCCUGAUGCAGCGACGCCGCGUGAGGGAUGACGGCCUUCGGGUUGUAAACCUCUUUCAGCACCGACGAAGCGAAAGUGACGGUAGGUGCAGAAGAAGGACCGGCCAACUACGUGCCAGCCGCCGCCGUAA
rnacentral:rRNA from 1 species